CCCCCCCCCCCCCCCCCCCCCCCCCCCCCCCCCCCCCCCCCCCCCCCCGGGCUGAGGGCGGGGGCGAGGCGGGAAAGCUGAGGCGCUACCUCGGGGCGGCUGUUGGUCGCUGGCGCUGCCCACUCUUAAAAUAUAUAAUCAGGUUUCCUCUGGAAGCAUUUUACUGCACAUGCGAAACAAGAGGCUGAGAGGCAGAGGCAGGGGUGAGAAAGCAUUUGGAAGAGGGGCUGAUACUGGCAGAAGACCACUUCAUAAAUUUUACUUCACAAUUUGGUCUUUUUAUUUCUGUUUUCAUUUAAAAAGCCUAAUGAAGGCAUCUGUCACAGCUCCGAGUGCAUUGAUCAGCCUUAACUACGCCUUAGUAGUCCCUGACCAGCCUCACCUGGACCAGGGUUGGUCUCCAAAGUCAGGAAGUGGGGAGUACAGUCUUCAAGGCAGUGAAUCUGAAAGUGGCAGUCCAAAGAUGACCAAGAAAAACAGGUGGAAGCCUUCCUUCAGACCUGGAGCUGCAGCAGGAGAUGGCUCCAUGCUGUCCUCCCCUGACUGCUUGUCG
rnacentral:lncRNA from 12 species